GGCGUUAUUUGGUUGGGGGUUAAGGUGGGCGGUACUGCAGUCGAACGAGUUCUCGUUGAUGAUCGGUGCUUGCACCGAGAUUCAACAUGGAACGAGUGGCGGACGGGUGAGUAACACGUGGGUAACCUGCCCUUAAGUGGGGGAUAACAUUUGGAAACAGAUGCUAAUACCGCAUAGAUCCAAGAACCGCAUGGUUCUUGGCUGAAAGAUGGCGUAAGCUAUCGCUUUUGGAUGGACCCGCGGCGUAUUAGCUAGUUGGUGAGGUAAUGGCUCACCAAGGCGAUGAUACGUAGCCGAACUGAGAGGUUGAUCGGCCACAUUGGGACUGAGACACGGCCCAAACUCCUACGGGAGGCAGCAGUAGGGAAUCUUCCACAAUGGACGCAAGUCUGAUGGAGCAACGCCGCGUGAGUGAAGAAGGCUUUCGGGUCGUAAAACUCUGUUGUUGGAGAAGAAUGGUCGGCAGAGUAACUGUUGUCGGCGUGACGGUAUCCAACCAGAAAGCCACGAUAACUMCGUGCCAGGUCAGCCGCUGGAWAAUAMGUAGGUGSGMAAGUGUYAUCCGGAUUUUAUUGGCSGWMAARCGAGCSCMKGGSGUUUUUUACAGUCUGAUGUGAAAGCCCUCGGSUUAACCGAAGAAGCGCAUCGGAAACUGGGAAACYUGARUCSCARAARAGGACCAGUGGAAACUCCWUGUGUAGCGGUGAAAUGCGUAGAUAUAUGGAAAGAACACCCAKUGCSCRAAGGCGGCUGUYUGGUCUGUAACUWGACGCURAGGCUCCCRAAAGCWUGGKURGSGAAGMAGGAUUAGAUUACCCUUSGKMGUCCCAUGCUYKUWAACGAUGAGAAUGCCURGGUCKUUGGAGGGGUUYCCGCCCUUCYCAGKSCCGCAGCKAACGCAUUAAGCAUUCCGCCUGGGGAGUACGACCGCAAGGUUGAAACUCAAAGGAAUUGACGGGGGCCCGCACAAGCGGUGGAGCAUGUGGUUUAAUUCGAAGCAACGCGAAGAACCUUACCAGGUCUUGACAUCUUUUGAUCACCUGAGAGAUCAGGUUUCCCCUUCGGGGGCAAAAUGACAGGUGGUGCAUGGUUGUCGUCAGCUCGUGUCGUGAGAUGUUGGGUUAAGUCCCGCAACGAGCGCAACCCUUAUGACUAGUUGCCAGCAUUUAGUUGGGCACUCUAGUAAGACUGCCGGUGACAAACCGGAGGAAGGUGGGGAUGACGUCAAAUCAUCAUGCCCCUUAUGACCUGGGCUACACACGUGCUACAAUGGAUGGUACAACGAGUUGCGAGACCGCGAGGUCAAGCUAAUCUCUUAAAGCCAUUCUCAGUUCGGACUGUAGGCUGCAACUCGCCUACACGAAGUCGGAAUCGCUAGUAAUCGCGGAUCAGCACGCCGCGGUGAAUACGUUCCCGGGCCUUGUACACACCGCCCGUCACACCAUGAGAGUUUGUAACACCCGAAGCCGGUGGCGUAACCCUUUUAGGGAGCGUAGCCGUAGAAGAGGUGCCCCCAUCUCCUGCG
rnacentral:rRNA from 1 species